rnacentral:rRNA from 1 species
UACAGAGGGGGCUAGCGUUGUUCGGAAUUACUGGGCGUAAAGGGCGCGUAGGUGGCCUGCUAAGUCGGACGUGAAAUCCCUGGGCUCAACCCAGGAACUGCGUCCGAUACUGGUUGGCUUGAAUCCGGGAGAGGGAUGUGGAAUUCCAGGUGUAGCGGUGAAAUGCGUAGAUAUCUGGAGGAAUACCGGUGGCGAAGGCGGCAUCCUGGACCGACAUUGACGCUGAGGAGCGAAAGCUAGGGGAGCAAACGGG